rnacentral:tRNA from 1 species
UAUAAAGUUGCUUUACAAGGAACAAGAGGAUUUUUUAUAAAUGGAAAACAAGAAGAGGAGUAUUCUUUAACAACUCCUGUUCAAAUUGGGAAUUUUGUGA